ensembl:lncRNA
AUGUUACCAAAGGCUCCUCAAGUCACUAUAAGGUCCAGAUAUGAAGAAAGGAGCUUCCGUCUCUUCCAAACCACGUGGCAGAGCCUUGCUGAGUGCACCGCUCCUGUGGCACCGAAGACAGCCAAGACCCCAGUCAGCUAAACCGCAUCUUUAGCCGCGCUGCUGGCCUGUGGAGGAGGAAGCUUCUUUCCUGUUGGGCUCCCUGUGAGCGGGCCUUCCAUGCUUUGGCGGAGGCGUGCAUCAUGGUCAAGCUGACAGCGAAAACCUGUUUACCAGUAAUGCAGUUCAUAAAAUUAUUCCUGAGCACCUCCCAUAUGUGGAGAGGGGGCUUCCCGCUGAAAACCUGCCGCCUUGUGCUCCGCCUGCUCUGGCUCGGUUGACUGCGAGGACUCUUCGCGUCUCCAUGAGGGAGUUUGGACAGGACUUGUCAUCAUGGUUGGAAGAACUUUCUCUGAAUUCUCUUCGUGAGGAAGUUGAUGUCUUGGACACAGUAUUAUUUUCCUUUGAGGGACUGUUUCCUGUUAAAAGGAAUUUAGUUUUUCAUAAAGAACCUCCAAAUUUGCUAAAAACUGGUUUAAUAAUCUGUUUUAUUUCCUGUGUCAAGUAUCAAUGCGUGAAAAAUUUUUGAAUAUCAUGGUUAAUCCGUGGACUGCUGAACACAACAGACUGAGCAUCAUGUCAGAGGUGCACCUUGUGAUUUGUGAAAAAUGUUGAACCUACAGAAAAAUUGAAAAAGUAAUAUAAUCCUGGUAAUGUUUACUAGACUCGGUGAAUGUCUUCACAUUUUGCACUUUUGUGCACGAACACAUGCAAACAUCCCUGCCCCUCCAUCAGGAGUCGUUUGAGUCUGUCGCUCACAGUAAGAUUCAGGCUAAACAUCUUUGGAAAGACUGUAAAACAGCAGAGGCCGCAGUGCUUUUGGAUGAGAUCGGGAGGUGACAGGCAUCCCCUCUGACAUAAGUGAAGAACGUGGUGGUCCUCCCUCAGCUCAGGUGACAUGGGCGACCACUGCACAUCUGGGGAGGGGCUCGAAGAGUCAGUCACUCAGGGCUUUAGUGGGUGAGAAGGAUGGCAGAACACCGGCGGCUCUGCCUAGCGGUGCAUUUAAUUAUUUCCGUUUUCUUGAGUCUAAUUCACAUACAUCGUUGGUUCGUGGAGCUGUUCCCUCCUUCUCUAUUUCCAAGGCAAAAAUCUCUGAUGUCAUCCCUGUCCUAUCCACACACAACUCCCAGGCUGACCUUCCAGAAGUUUGCUUUUUCCCUUCAAGGAUAUUUUUGAUAGUCAUUUAUAUGAAGUUUGACUUAAAUAGAAAGACCUGUGGAUGGGGUAAGGGCAGGGCAGGGAACCACAGAUCUGCCCCAGGCCCGGUGCUUCCUAGGGUCACUCAAAACUCUGUCUUAGUUUUCAUUUUAAACCCAUGUCACUCUCGGGGCAGGGGGCAGGGGGCAGAGGGCAGAGGGCAGGGGAAUACUUAGCAGAAGAGUUGAGAAGUGUUCAUUAAGUGGACGUCUAAGAAAUCGUGACUGAAAUCCUGCAAGAGGAAAAGAAACAAACAGGAGAAUGGGGCCAAACGCCUCAAGUCCUAGAGUCUCCAGGAGGGGCCGUGAGUGAUAGCCUGUGCUCCUGAAAACAAAAGUAAAUAACAGAAAAAUAAAUGGUAAACUUCAGAACACUUUCCAGAAUUAUCUAGGUUUUUUUUUUCUUCUAAACAUUUAUGUCCUAGGGCACAUUACCUCUGAGGCAAAGAUCUCAGAAAACUGAUAAAAAAUGUUGACCUGGCGCUGUAAACAAUAACGGGGGGCAGCGAUUGCACCAGCACAGGAUGGAGGCCCGGGGCCGCUCUCAAGCUCCGUCUCGACACUGAGCCGGAUCACGGGACACAGUGGUAGCCACUAGGAUGCUUUCCACCAGGUGGUUCUAUGGAGGCCACGGGUGAGAUUGAGAUGGUGAGGAUCCCGCCAUCUCCAGCUGUGUUCCAGGCCCCGGAACCUCCUUGCUCCUGACAGACAGCCAACGUGAUAGGGAAUUCACUGGAAAGAUGGUCUACUUCUUUCUGUGGUCAUC